rnacentral:misc_RNA from 1 species
AACGCACAUUGCGCCCUUUGGCAUUCCGAAGGGCAUGCCUGUUCGAGCGUCAUUACACCAAUCACGCCUGGCGUGGUAUUGGGCGACGCGGCCGUCACACGCCGCGCGCCCUAAUGACCCCGGCGGGACCGACCGAAUCUCAGCGUUGUGGUUAAAGCCGCUGGCGAGACGGGACGCCCGUGCCGUUAAACAACCCCAUCACAGGUUGACCUCGGAUCAGGUAGGGAUACCCGCUGAACUUAA